rnacentral:rRNA from 1 species
AUUGAACGCUGGCGGCGUGCUUAACACAUGCAAGUCGAACGGAGUGGCGAACGGGUGAGUAACACGUGGGUGACCUGCCCUGCACUUCGGGAUAAGCCUGGGAAACUGGGUCUAAUACCGGAUAGUGUGGGAUGGGCCCGCGGCCUAUCAGCUUGUUGGUGGGGUAAUGGCCUACCACGGCGGCGACUGGUAGCCGGCCUGCGAGGGUGGACGGCCACAUGGGGACUGGGAGACGGCCCAGACUGCUACGGGGGGCAGCAGGGGGGAAUAUUGCGCAAUGGGCGGAAGCCUGAGGCAGCGGCGCCGCGUGGGGGAUGACGGCCUUGUGGGGGGAAACGCGUUUCACCAUCGACGCGGUAGAUGGAGAAGAAGCACCGGCUAACUACGUGCCAGCAGCCGCGGUAAUUC